rnacentral:rRNA from 1 species
AUUGAACGCUGGCGGCAGGCCUAACACAUGCCAGUCGAGCGGAUGAAGGGAGCUUGCUCCUGGAUUCAGCGGCGGACGGGUGAGUAAUGCCAGGAAUCUGCCUGGUAGUGGGGGAUAACGUCCGGAAACGGGCGCUAAUACCGCAUACGUCCUGAGGGAGAAAGUGGGGGAUCUUCGGACCUCACGCUAUCAGAUGAGCCUAGGUCGGAUUAGCUAGUUGGUGGGGUAAAGGCCUACCAAGGCGACGAUCCGUAACUGGUCUGAGAGGAUGAUCAGUCACACUGGAACUGAGACACGGUCCAGACUCCUACGGGAGGCAGCAGUGGGGAAUAUUGGACAAUGGGCGAAAGCCUGAUCCAGCCAUGCCGCGUGUGUGAAGAAGGUCUUCGGAUUGUAAAGCACUUUAAGUUGGGAGGAAGGGCAGUAAGUUAAUACCUUGCUGUUUUGACGUUACCAACAGAAUAAGCACCGGCUAACUUCGUG